rnacentral:rRNA from 1 species
GAAAUUUAAAAAAUUUGGCGGUAUUUUAGUCUUUUUAGAGGAACCUGCCCUAUAAUUGAUGAUCCACGAUUAAUUGUACUUAAAUUAAAAGUUUAUAUAUCGUCGUAGUUGAAUACCUUAUGAGAGACAAAGUAUUCAAUAUUUAUAAAUUAUAAAUGAAAUCAGAUCAAGAUAUAGCCUAUAUUUAAGAAGAGGUGGGUUACAAUAAAUUUAUUUUUGGUUAUAAUAAUUAAAAUUAUUAUUUAAAUUGGAUUUAAAAGUAAUAUAUUUAAGUUAAAAUAUAUGAUUUAAGCUCUGAAAUAUGCACAUAUCGCCCGUCGCUUCUAAUGAAAUAUAAAUUAGAAUAAGUCGUAACAUAGUAGGUGUACCGGAAGGUGUACCUAGUUUGACAAAUUAAAGCUUUAUAUAAGUAUUUUAUUUACAUUAAGAAGAUAAUUGUUAAAAUCAAUUUAAUUUGAAUUUAAUGAUUUAUUAAAUUUGAUUUUAUUAAUUAAUUAUUUUAAAAAAGAUAUUUUAUAUUUUAUUUAUAAAUUUAGAUAAAAUUAUUUAUAAUGAUAGUUUAUUAGUAUAGUGAUAGGAUAUUGAAAAAAAUUGAAAAUUUAAAUAUUUAAAAGAAAAAUUUAUUAUUUGUACCUUGUGUAUCAGGGUUUAUUAAAUAUUUAUUAUAUAAAGUUAAUUUUCUCGAAUUUGAAAGAGCUAAGAAAUUAUAUAUUUUAUUGUAAAAUAAAUAUUUAAAAUAAUUUUUUAGUAAUGAAACGUUAUUCGUUUUUAAAUUUAUCUAGUUUUUUAAGAAAUAAAUUUUAAUUUAGUUAAUUAUUUAAAUUAAAAUAAUUUAUUAUUUUAUAUUUAUAUAAUUAAUUAAUAUUUUAAGGGAUAAGCUUUAAAAUAAAAUUUUAUAAAUUAAUAAUAAUUUAUAUAUAAAUUAAUAGAAUUAGAAUUUUUUAUUUUUAAUAGUAUGUUAUAAUAAAUUUAUAUUUAUAUUAAAUUUUUAUAUAAUUUUAAAUUAUUUAUUAAAAUUAUUUAUUUAAUAUUAUAUUAUAUGUAAUAAUGAUAAAAUUAGUAUAAGUUUAUGUUUAAAAUUUUUAGAAUUUUUAGGUUAAAUUAAGGAACUCGGCAAAUAAUUUUUCUGCCUGUUUAUUAAAAACAUGUCUUUUUGAUUAUAAUUUAAAGUCUGACCUGCCCUAUGAAAUUUUUAAAUGGCCGCGGUAUUUUGACCGUGCAAAGGUAGCAUAAUCAUUAGUUUCUUAAUUAGGAACUGGUAUGAAUGGUUGGACAAGAUGAAUACUGUCUCAAUUUAAUUUUUAUUAGAAUUUUAUUUUUAAGUUAAAAAGCUUAAAUAAUUUUAAAAGACGAGAAGACCCUAUAGAGUUUUAUAUUAUGAUUUAUUAUUUAAAAAUUAGGAAUUUUAAAUAAAAUAAUAAAUUAUAAUAUUUAAUUGGGGCGAUUUAAAAAUUUAUUAAACAUUUUUAUUAAUAU